rnacentral:rRNA from 1 species
UACAGAGGUGGCAAGCGUUGUUCGGAAUUACUGGGUGUAAAGGGCGCGUAGGCGGCCUGUUAAGUCGCGUGUGAAAUCCCUCGGCUCAACCGAGGAACUGCACGGGAAACUGGCGGGCUUGAGUUCGGGAGAGGGAAGCGGAAUUGCGGGUGUAGCGGUGAAAUGCGUAGAUAUUCGGAGGAACACCGGUGGCGAAGGUGGCUUCCUGGACCGACACUGACGCUGAGGCGCGAAAGCUAGGGGAGCAAACGGG